UACGUAGGGGGCUAGCGUUGUCCGGAAUCAUUGGGCGUAAAGAGCGCGUAGGCGGCCAGAUAAGUCCGGUGUGAAAGUCAAAGGCUCAACCUUUGAAUGCCGCUGGAAACUGUCUGGCUAGAGUCCGGGAGGGGCGAGUGGAAUUCCUGGUGUAGCGGUGAAAUGCGCAGAUAUCAGGAGGAACACCGAUGGCGAAGGCAGCUCGCUGGGACGGUACUGACGCUGAGGCGCGAAAGCGUGGGGAGCGAACAGG
rnacentral:rRNA from 1 species